rnacentral:rRNA from 1 species
UACGUAGGGACCAAGCGUUGUUCGGAUUUACUGGGCGUAAAGGGCGCGUAGGCGGCAUGACAAGUCACUUGUGAAAUCUCUGGGCUUAACCCAGAACGGCCAAGUGAUACUGUCGUGCUAGAGUGCGGAAGGGGCUACUGGAAUUCUCGGUGUAGCGGUGAAAUGCGUAGAUAUCAAGAGGAACACCUGCGGCGAAGGCGGGUUGCUGGGCCGACACUGACGCUGAGGCGCGAAAGCCAGGGGAGCGAACGGG